GUUCCGUACAUGCACAGAAGGGAGAGUGCACGCACACGGGGAGGUACAGCAUAAAUUUGGAAGAACAGUGUGGCAACUGCAGACAGCCAUCGGCCAGAUGAAAAGGAUGUAUCAGGCCAAACAGGAGGAAAGCCAACAACCCAAACAGUGGCGGCAUCCACCCUCUUUUAACUACUUAGCAGGAAGGUUCCAUGCCAGCACAUUCAGAGGGCUGAAAAUAUUUGGCAUAAAAGACUGUGGUGACUGCAAUGAGCAUGUACAGACUUUUCUUCCUUGUCAUUGAGCUCCAAACAACGUAUUAAAAACUUAGAACAGUUUAAAAAAUAUUUGCAUUAUAUUUGGUAUGACAGGGAUUAUAUAAAGUGCACAAGAAGUUAUAUGUAAGAUCUACUAUGCAGAUGCUGCACCCUUUUAUGUAAGGGACCUUAGCAGCUGGAAGACUGUGUCUUCUGUGAAAUCCAAGCGAUACACCUGUUUCCAAGCCAACAGUUAAUACACUGAUCUUUGGUUAUUAUUUCAAAUCAAAACAAAUCUUUAAAAGUGGUUGAGUAUCUUUUGUGUCUAACAGAUAUCAGAAUGUGAGCUCUGCAUACUCAUAAGCCCCACAUAGAAUAUCCCUGAUAAUUCUGUUGAACUGCCAUCUCAAGGCAUUAAAAUAAAGAGCUGUAAAUAUCCUCUGAUUAAAUAUUAACCUUAAGAUAUGAAA